rnacentral:rRNA from 1 species
UACAUGCUAGUGGUAAUGAAGCGAAAGGCUAAGUGACCGCAAGGAGCUAGCACAGGUGCUGCAUGGCUGUCGUCAGCUCGUGUCGUGAGAUGUUCGGUUAAGUCCGCUAACGAGCGCAACCCUCGCUGUGUGUUACAAGUGUCACACAGGACCGCCGGUCUUAAGCCGGAGGAAGGUGGGGAUGACGUCAAGUCAGCAUGGCCUUUAUGUCCAGGGCUACACACACGCUACAAUGGUCAGCACAAUAGGUAGCCAAGCCGCGAGGUGGAGCCGAUCCUCAAAGCUGGCCUCAGUUCAGAUCGCAGGCUGCAACCCGCCUGCGUGAAGCCGGAGUUGCUAGUAACCGCAGGUCAGCUAUACUGCGGUGAAUACGUUCCCGGGGCUU